GGCGGAGCGGGCCGGGCCUCGUCGCCUCACCGAGCCCCCGGAGCUGCCUCCCUCCGGGGCAGGACCCCCCGACAGGCUCCGGGGAAAGCCCCCCGAGAGCCCCCCGGUGGGUGCCCAUUUCUUAUCAGUCCCAGUAACUGCUCUUUCCAAAUGAUGGAAAGUUUCUGAGUCCACACUCAAGCACAGACAUUGCGAAACUUCACAGACUUUAAGCUGGCUGUAGAAGAGCAGGACGUGAGAACACUUCAUGCCUGGCAACAAGCACAUUUCUUGCCUGCAGUUGGAGGGGAUAAUGAAAGAAAAAGAGCACAAGGGAAUGCUGCAAACCACAACUGGAAAAGCUGAGAUCCUGCGUUAAAACAGAAACACCAAAGGUCUGCGAACGUUGCUUUGUCAGGCUGUCUCCAGUGCUGUGAGCAAAGUCUGGGCUCAAACUGAAAAUAAAAGGGACUUUCUGUUGAACAGAAUCACGCAAGUGAAGUGGGGUGUGGGAUUUGGUGAGGUCUCAGGCAUGUCUUAGCUUUUGUGAUGAGGUGGUGGAGGAGAAAGGCGUGUGUGUAGCCACAUACAGACCUUGGAGAGCCAGCUGUGGCAGCAAAAGCUGGAGAAAUUGUGCCUGAUACCAACUCUGUGCUGAAAUAAAAUGCACAGUCUGCUGCCACGAGAGAAACCCAUAGAAAAAAAAGGGGUCCUUUUAAACAUUUGGAGAGUUACUUCUAGCCACAGCCAUUCUGUAGGUUCAGCUCCCAAAGCGAGCACUGGUGUUGACACAAGGCGAAGUCAGGCUGCAGACAGCCUCGCCGUGCCGCUGGCAGCAGCAUGUGCUGUCCCUGUGCCCUAGGGCUUGUUGGAGUGUGCCCAGGGCUGAUGUCACUUGCUGUCCCACCAAAAGCCAGCCCAGCAAACAUGACUUCAGGGUUCUGCCAGGGUGCUGAGCUGAAGCUGAUCACCCCAGAGGCAGAGGAGCACAGGAAGAGCCAGGGCAACACGUGGUUGGAAGCAGGACACCCUCAUACCAUUUGGUCAGCCAUGGCUGUGUCUUCACCCCAAGCAGCAGCUCCUCAACCUGCCCCACGCUGGAGCAAGCACAGCCUUGGCUCUUGGCCACCUGCUUGUGCCAGAGGUGAAUCAUGCAACACUGAGCCUGGCUUACAGCACACUGCCUGCCCACUGUGCUUUCUCCCCUAGCAUCAUCCUUGCUGCCACCCCAUUUUCUCCAAUAUAUUGUUUUAUUACUUCCUGGCAUAAAACCCCUUUUAUUUCCUGCAUGCACACAGAUUACAGCCUGUUCCCUACGUCCUUUCCCUAGCUCAGGGGAUUUUUAUGUCUCAAAGGACUCACAGCAUGGUCACAAGCAGAACCAGGCAGAGAGAGACCUGUCCUGCCCAUUCCCACUGCUGGUGCUGCCAGAGGUGGGGAACCAGACAGCUUGGAGGGUGUCCCCUCUGUCCCAGGCACAGGGAAACAUUGCCUGGCACCUGCAGCAGCAAUGAGGCAGCAGCUGAGUCCCUUACCCCCCUGUUAUUUUGAAAUCCAUCCUACAUGGAUGCCAUUUACUUGCUUUUGCCUGUUCCAUUUUUCAGGGUCUGCUUGGUGAUAUCAUCGGUUGAGUUUAACAUUCACCGUCUGUCUCUGCAGUACGAGGCUGAGCAUGAUGCAGCAGGAGAGCAGGGGAAGGGCAAAGAGAGAGGACAGGACGUUCGGCGCCUGUGCAGAGAAAAAAAAAAUCACUACUUUCUGUAACAUGCAUCUACCAAAAGAUGGCAGCAAAUAUCCUAGUAUGGAGCUGGGCUCUUUUUCAGACAUGCUGUAAUUAUCUCAGUGAGUGACAGAAAAACUGAGAAUGAGCAGCCAAAAUGAAGGAGAGAAUUGAUGUUUAGAACUUCUUGGUGAUUUCUUAUACCGUUGAAAGAAUCUCUUUCAUUUAAAGUGAAGACAUAAGCACAGAUAUUCUUCCCAGCAGGCUGACCACAGACGGCCCCCAAGGUCUGUGCCAUGCCAGAGCGGUGCCACACAGUCUGCAGUGGCCUGGGGAUAGCAGGAGUGGGGAGCAUGGCUGGGACAAGACCAGGGAGGGUUGCAUUGUUUUUUUAGGGAAAAAAAAAAAAAAAAAAAAAAGGAGAAAACAAAAGGGGAAUGCAAUAAAAGCUAAACUCGUUCAGCUUCUUUUGAUCUCGGAGAA